rnacentral:rRNA from 1 species
GACGAACGCUGGCGGCGUGCCUAAUACAUGCAAGUUGAGCGCUGAAGGUUGGUACUUGUACCGACUGGAUGAGCAGCGAACGGGUGAGUAACGCGUGGGGAAUCUGCCUUUUAGCGGGGGACAACAUUUGGAAACGAAUGCUAAUACCGCAUAAAAACUUUAAACACAAGUUUUAAGUUUGAAAGAUGCAAUUGCAUCACUCAAAGAUGAUCCCGCGUUGUAUUAGCUAGUUGGUGAGGUAAAGGCUCACCAAGGCGAUGAUACAUAGCCGACCUGAGAGGGUGAUCGGCCACCUUGGGACUGAGCCACGGCCCAAACUCCUACGGGAGGCAGCAGUAGGGAAUCUUCGGCAAUGGACGAAAGUCUGACCGAGCAACGCCGCGUGAGUGCAGAAGGUUUUCGGCUCGUAAAACUCUGUUGGUAGAGAAGAACGUUGGUGAGAGUGGAAAGCUCAUCAAGUGACGGUAACUACCCAGAAAGGUACGGCUAACUACGUG